AUGCAGUAAUAAGGAAAGGUAGUUUCUAUGCAUCUAACAAUGAUCUCGAAUUUGAAAUACAUAACGUAAAUAAAAUCCAAAACUAUUUUUAUAGGUCUAUUAUUUUUGUGAUACUGAUUUAAACAAACAAAUAAUUGUGACAUUUAAUAUCACAUAACGUUUACUAGUAUAGUUGAUUUUUUAUCUGUUUUCAGCCCUAAUGUGAUUUGUUGUGAUAACUUUAUACUGUCUAAUGGAUAUUGCAAAGCUUGUCCAUUGGGAACAUUUUGGACAAAUUGUUCUCUGGUAUGUCCUGAUGGUUAUUACGGUAUGUUUUGCAAAGAAAUGUGUGACUGCAAAACGUCAGAAUGCGAUAAAGCUGUUGGAUGUCCUAAAAAAGACUCACCUCAUUUGCCACCAACAUCAAAUAUAACUAUAGCAGCAGUUUCUCUGGCCAUCACCAGCGUUGUGAUAGGAGUCACAAUUUGUGUAGUUGUAAGAUUUAAAUCAAGACAGCAAAGUGUUUACAUAGCGCCUGUAUCAUAUUUGAACGAAGGAUCAAUCGGAUUGUCAAGAAUAAUCGAAAAUAACUAUUCAUUCCUCAUCAAAGAAAGUCCAAACUAGCCUAUUGUGUUACAUUUGUUUAUAAGGAGUACAUGUCUUAAUGUAAAUUGUUCGCCAAAUACGAUGAAACAUUAACCUUACAUCAGGUGAAAGAUUUCCAACGCUUCAAAUUUUAACAAACAUUAAGCGAUAUGUAGAGUGGAGUUUGUAUAUACUAGGGUAUAUUAUCUGCAUCCUGCACAUAUUGUAUAUAAAAUAUACUAAGUAGUGUAAUCUACAAAAUGCUGAUGGAAAUCAUGUUCUUUGCCAAGAAAACAUAUCUGGAAUCAGUAAAAUAGAAUAGAUUUGUCAGUAAGAAGCAGUUUGAGAAACUAUAACUUUUCUAUAGAAUUAAAUAAAAUACUAUUUGAAAUAAUAUAGAUAUUUUCUGCAUAUUGUGGCAUUGAAUUUGAACAAACAUUUUAAAUACCAACAAAGAAGCAUUUUUUCAAUCCAUUGUCGGAAACCCACAGCUGAUUACACUUUUU